UACGGAAGGCAGCAGUGGGGAAUAUUGCACAAUGGGCGCAAGCCUGAUGCAGCCAUGCCGCGUGUAUGAAAGGACGUCGUCGUGUAAAGUACUUUCAGUCGUGAGGAAGGUGUUAAGGUUAAUAACCUUAGCAAUUGACGUUAGCGACAGAAGAAGCACCGGCUAACUCCGUGCCAGCAGCCGCGGUAAUACGGAGGGUGCGAGCGUUAAUCGGAAUUACUGGGCGUAAAGGGCACGCAGGCGGUUAAUUAAGUUGGAUGUGAAAUCCCCGGGCUUAACCUGGGAAUGGCAUUCAAGACUGGUUAGCUAGAGUCUUGUAGAGGGGGUAGAAUUCCAUGUGUAGCGGUGAAAUGCGUAGAGAUGUGGAGGAAUACCGGGUGGCGAAGGCGGCCCCUGGGACAAAGACUGACGCUCAUGUGCGAAAGCGUGGGGAGCAAACAGGGAUUAGAUACC
rnacentral:rRNA from 1 species